CUGGAUUGGAGCUCUCGCAGGCGGAGGCCACGACCUAGUUUAGCGUCCUUAGGGUAGCGCCGAGUCCUGCUCGUUCUGGGCGGGGGUAUGAAGGAGGUACGAAAAGAGGGGGCCGGGCGCCCACUUCUGAGGAGAACAACGGCGGACCCUGCGUUCGGAGCUACCCUGGCCGCCCACCCCGCCCCGCUCCCUGCGAGGAGCGGAGAUCUCAGAAACCAGAAACGGCGCCCACCGCACCCCACACGGCCCCACCUGGGGCCGCCUCCACGUGAUGUCCUCGCGGAACUGGGCCAGCGGCGUAGACAAGUCGCAGAAGAGCGAGGAGUCCGCGGCGGGGAAGGCGGCGUCCCGGAACAGCUCC
rnacentral:lncRNA from 1 species